UACGGGGGGUGCAAGCGUUGUCCGGAAUCAUUGGGCGUAAAGCGCGCGUAGGCGGCCUGUUAGGUCGGGGGUCAAAUACCGGGGCUCAACCCCGGUCCGCCCCCGAUACCGGCAGGCUUGAGUCUGGUAGGGGAAGGCGGAAUUCCCAGUGUAGCGGUGGAAUGCGCAGAUAUUGGGAAGAACACCGGCGGCGAAGGCGGCCUUCUGGGCCACGACUGACGCUGAGGCGCGAAAGCUAGGGGAGCGAACAGG
rnacentral:rRNA from 1 species